rnacentral:rRNA from 1 species
AUUGAACGCUGGCGGCAGGCCUCACACAUGCAAGUCGAACGCGUGGCGGACGGGUGAGUAAUGUCUGGGAAACUGCCUGAUGGCGUGGGAUAACUCCUGGAACCGGUAGCUAAUACCGCAUACCAUCCUCUUUUCCCCGAUGGGAUUAUCUAGUUGGUUGGGUAACGGCUCACCAAGGCGACGAUCCCUAGCUGGUCUGAGAGGAUGACCAGCAACACUGGAACUGAGACACGGUACAGACGCCUACGGGAGGCAGCAGUGGGGAAUAUUGCACAAUGGGCGAAAGCCUGAUGCAGCCAUGCCGCGGGUAUGAAGAAGGCCUUCGGGUUGUAAAGUACUGUCAGCGGGGAGGCGGUACACGCAGAAGAAGCACCGGCGAACUCCGUGCCAGCCGCCGCGGUAAUUC